AAUGAACGCUGGCGGCAGGCCUAACACAUGCAAGUCGAACGGAUCCUUUGGGAUUAGUGGCGGACGGGUGAGUAACGCGUGGGAACAUACCCUUUGGUACGGAAUAGCCUCGGGAAACUGGGAGUAAUACCGUAUGUGCUCGAAAGAGGAAAGAUUUAUCGCCAAAGGAUUGGCCCGCGUUGGAUUAGGUAGUUGGUGGGGUAAUGGCCUACCAAGCCGACGAUCCAUAGCUGGUUUGAGAGGAUGAUCAGCCACACUGGGACUGAGACACGGCCCAGACUCCUACGGGAGGCAGCAGUGGGGAAUCUUAGACAAUGGGGGAAACCCUGAUCUAGCCAUGCCGCGUGAUCGAUGAAGGCCUUAGGGUUGUAAAGAUCUUUCAGAUGGGAAGAUAAUGACGGUACCAUCAGAAGAAGCCCCGGCUAACUCCGUG
rnacentral:rRNA from 1 species